GAUGAACGUUGGCGGUGUGCCUAAUACAUGCAAGUCGAACGGUGACGAUUUUGUAGUAAUACGAAUGAAAUCACAGUGGCGAACGGGUGAGUAACGCGUUGGUGAUCUGCCUCGAAGUGUGGAAUAACGCUCCGAAAGGAGCGCUAAUACCGCAUGUGCUCUCGAUGUUUAGAAAGUUGAGAGUAAAGGAGCAAUCCGGUAAGAGAUGGGCUCGCGUCCGAUUAGAUAGUUGGUGAGGUAACGGCCCACCAAGUCGACGAUCGGUAGCCGACCUGAGAGGGUGAUCGGCCACAUUGGAACUGAGAGACGGUCCAAACUCCUACGGGAGGCAGCAGUGGGGAAUAUUGGGCAAUGGGGGAAACCCUGACCCAGCGACGUCCGCGUGAGGGAAGAAGGUUUU
rnacentral:rRNA from 1 species